AAGUCGUAACAAGGUUUCCGUAGGUGAACCUGCGGAAGGAUCAUUAAUAGACCUGUGUCUAGUUUGUGCUUAUAAGUGAUUAGCUUUGUGGUUGUUACUGUGAUUAUCAAAACUUGCAACAACGGAUCUCUAGGCUCUCC
rnacentral:misc_RNA from 1 species